GAUCACGUGCUGGGUGUUCUGGCAAGGACAGGAACGUGCACGAGGGUGCUCCUCUUCUGUCAAGGCUUUGUUUGAAGAGCAGUCUGAAAACAUCAGUGUAUAUUGGGAUGAAGUACUAGUAAAACAUAUGUUUAUAAAAACUGCUUUUCUCCAAACAUUUUCAAUUAUCUUAUGAAUUACCUGGACAAAAGAGUUUUCCCUCCCAGCCCUGUUUUCAAGCUGUCCCUGCUGAGGAGGGGGUUGUAAGUCACACAUCUGUCUGGCAAGUAUUUUCAUUUCAGUGUUCUAAAAGUUUUUAAUUCAAGAUGAUGGUGAGCUGUUUUAAUGUAGAAAUUGGCUUUAAGGUUACAUCAGGAGCAGUUAGAGAAACCCACUUCUUUCUGAUGGGGAAAACAACAUGUAUUUUAAGUGGCCUUUUGGUAAGGCAGUUUAACAAUUAAACAUCAGGAGAAAGGCCAUAAUCUUAAUGAAUUCUGUUUCUAAUAAUCCCUGUGCACAUGACUUGAUGUAAUUUAAGACUAACAGAAAAAGCACAAGAUAGUACUCUUAACAGUACUUUUUCUUGAGCUAUUAACUGUUAGGAUGGGUGAAAACAUCAUUCUAUGUAACAUAAUUUAAUCAAAAUUAUAAAUAUUGGGGCCUCCUCGUGAUCCAUGUAAAUCAGCAUAGCUGUGGUCCUAUAUUUUAUUAUUUUUAAGUUCUGAAGAGGAAGGAAUGUGUGUCUGCCUACAGUGAUUCUGACAGACUUUUCUUCUGAUUUCAGGUGAGAAUUUACAUCUGUGGAACACAACCAGUAAUUUAACAGGUUUAAUGACUGUAGUUGCUAUGACUGCUACAACUUGCCAGCUGGCUAAAGAUGAAAUAUAUUUCAACACAAGCAAUUGGGCUUUAUUAUAACACCGGGACCAGUUUGGCUCCAGCCUACAAACCUCUGCAGCUCUGGCACGUGGAGACAAAGGACAAGGUGUUUCCAAGCAUGUUGAGGCUUAAUGAGACCUGUGUGUUGGCAACUUUGGUCCCAAACUGAAGUGUAGGACUGAUAGCUGGAAUGCAGCAUGGUGGAAUACUGCAUUUUGGGGACAUUGGGCUGGGAUAUCCUUGGAUUGUGGUAAGUAAGAGGCUGUGUUGGGAAGCCAGCUCCUUCCAGAGGAAGCUGGAGUCCCCCUGUGAGUAGGAUGGAGGUGGUAUGGACUUGUGAACAUUGAGAUGCUGCUCCUGUGUGCUCACAAGGAAGCUGAACCACCCCUUCCUUUGGCUUGGUGCAUUUCAGGUGGAAAAGCCUCCAGUUUUCCUUCCCCAAAAGAACGAGAUCCCAGCUCACUUGAAAGCUGGUGCUUUCUCAGCAGGCAUAGGCACUCCUAGGAAAACAAGUUCUCAGUGGUGGAUUAUUUGCAGUCUUGCAGAAGGGAAGUUUUCAGUUAAAAAUGAUGGUUUGUCUCUCAUGGAGUUAUUAACAAUGAGUCCCUAUGUUUUUGCACUACAGCAAUAGUUCAGGGAACUGUGGGAUACAGAGACUUUAACUGCUGAGCACCUUGUAGCAGGAAUAUGUUGUACCUCCACCAGCCACUAUUUAAACUUUGGCAAAUCAGAAUCCUAGAUUAUAAACAUGUUACCAUGCUUACAUUGAACAUCCUGUAUGAAUUUAACUGUACACGUUUGAUUUAGUUAAUAAAAUACAGCAUUUUGUGCA
rnacentral:lncRNA from 1 species